rnacentral:rRNA from 1 species
GAUGAACGCUGGCGGCGUGCCUAAUACAUGCAAGUCGAACGGACGGGCGAGAAUCUUGCUGCGUGGAUGUGAGGGGCGGACGUGUGAGUAACACGUGUAUAACGUACCUAUAAUAGGGAUAUAACUUGGGAAACCGGGAGCUAAUCGGAUAGGAUAUUUUGAAGCACGGUGUGGAAAGGUAAAAUACGGUCGUUCUGUCACGUAUAGCUGGAUCCGCGCUGCAUUAGCUAGUUGGUAAGGUAACGGCUUACCAAGGCAACGAUGCAUAGCCGACCUGAGAGGGUGAUCGGCCACACUGGAACUGAGACACGGUCCAGACUCCUACGGGAGGCAGCAGUAGGGAAUCUUCCGCAAUGGGCGAAAGCCUGACGGAGCAACGCCGCGUGAGUGAUGAAGGUCUUCGGAUCGUAAAACUCUGUUAUUAGGGAAGAACAUAUGUGUAAGUAACUGUGCACAUCUUGACGGUACCUAAUCAGAAAGCCACGGCUAACUACGUG